rnacentral:rRNA from 1 species
AAGGGCACCACAAGAACGCGUGGAGCAUGUGGCUUAAUUUGACUCAACGCGGGAAAUCUUACCGGGUCCGGACACACUGAGGAUUGACAGAUAUACGUCGUGCGUUGAGCUCUCUCGGGGGCCGAGCGCAUGACUGAAAGAUGCUAGUUCUUUCAUGAUUAUGUGAUAGGUGGUGCAUGUCCGUUCUUAGUUCGUGGAGUGAUCUGUCUGCUUAAUUGCGUAUCAUUAAAGAGACCUAGUAUACGCGUAAGACUUCGUUUUACGGUUCGUGACCCCCCUCACGGGCGUGUGUCGCACGUACGAGUCAUACGCACAGGUCUCCGAUAGCAACGAACGUGACCGUACUCUAUUGUUGCAGCGAAUGUAUACGCACUCUGUGCUGUGUCUACCGCUGCUUAGCAUAUUUUCGUACCCUCGUGGUGCGUUGUAUGCAUUAAACUAUAGAGACCGCUGUCUUUUUCUUUUAAACCAGAGGAAGGAUACGGCAAUAACAGGUCUGUGAUGCCCUCAGAUGUUCCGGGCUGCACACGUGCUACAAUGAUCAUUGCACUGUGCAUCUAACCCAAUGUGCGUGGACGCCACGGUGUAUUGCGCUUCGGCGUAUAUGCAUCAGUUGGUCGACCACGCCGAACCUACUUCGAAAGUAAAAUUUUUAAGUGGGUAAUCCAUUAGAAGUAAUGACUCGCAUAGACCAUGGUACACUUUUAUGUACGCGCAGGUUCUACCCGGCCGGCCUUUUGUGUCGGUGCAGUGCGUAGCUUGUUGUUUCGUACGUACCACUCCGUAUUAAUUCAUACGUGGGGAUAGAUCAUUGUUUAAUUGUUGGUCUCGGUCUUAACUAGGAAUGCCUUGUACGGGUCUCUGGUUCAACAUACCACCCGGAAUACGUCCCUGCCCUUUGUACACACCGCCCGUCGCUCUUACCGAUGGAUUAUACUAUGAAUCUAUAGGACUGCCAAAGUUUGUGUCUCUCUCGGGAGUCACGCUUAGUGGAAAUAUAUAUGAAUAGUGUGAUCUAAAGGAAAGAGAAGUCGUAACAAGGCAUCGGUAGGUGAACCUGCAGAAGGAUCA